GAACCUGCCUCAUAGACUGGGACAACUAUUGGAAACGAUAGCUAAUACCGGAUAACAGCAUUAACUGCAUGGUUGAUGUUUAAAAGUUGGUUUCCGCUAACACUAUGAGAUGGCUUUGCGGUGCAUUAGCUAGUUGGUGGGGUAAAGGCCUACCAAGGCGACGAUGCAUAGCCGACCUGAGAGGGUGAUCGGCCACUGGGACUGAGACACGGCCCAGACUCCUACGGGAGGCAGCAGUAGGGAAUCUUCCGCAAUGGGCGAAAGCCUGACGGAGCAACGCCGCGUGAGUGAAGAAGGAUUUCGGUUCGUAAAGCUCUGUUGUUAGGGAAGAAUGAUUGUGUAGUAAC
rnacentral:rRNA from 1 species